GGGAAUCUUCCACAAUGGGCGAAAGCCUGAUGGAGCAACGCCGCGUGGGUGAAGAAGGUCUUCGGAUCGUAAAACUCUGUUGUUAGAGAAGAACAAGGACGUUAGUAACUGAACGUCCCCUGACGGUAUCUAACCAGAAAGCCACGGCUAACUACGUGCCAGCAGCCGCGGUAAUACGUAGGUGGCAAGCGUUAUCCGGAUUUAUUGGGCGUAAAGGGAACGCAGGCGGUCUUUUAAGUCUGAUGGGAAAGCCUUCGGCUUAACCGGAGUAGUGCAUUGGAAACUGGUUGACUUGAGUGCAGAAGAGGGAAGUGGAAUUCCAUGUGUAGCGGUGAAAUGCGUAGAGAUAUGGAGGAACACCAGUGGCGAAGGCGGCUCUCUGGUCUGUAACUGACGCUGAGGCUCGAAAGCGUGGGGAGCA
rnacentral:rRNA from 1 species